rnacentral:rRNA from 1 species
UCGGAAUUACUGGGCGUAAAGCGUGCGCAGGCGGUGAUGUAAGACAGAUGUGAAAUCCCCGGGCUCAACUUGGGAACUGCAUUUGUGACUGCAUCGCUGGAGUGCGGCAGAGGGGGAUGGAAUUCCGCGUGUAGCAGUGAAAUGCGUAGAUAUGCGGAGGAACACCGAUGGCGAAGGCAAUCCCCUGGGCCUGCACUGACGCUCAUGCACGAAAGCGUGGGGAGCAAACAGG